AACCACAGCGUUCGACAUUCGACCGCAGCAUUCGACCGCAGCAUUCAACCACAGCAUUCGACUCCAGCAGUUCAACGACAGCAUUCAACCACAGCAUUCAAAAUUCGACCACAGCAUUCGACCACACCAUUCGAGCACAGCAUUCAACCAGAGCAUUCAACCACAGCAUUCGACAUUCGACCACAGCAUUCGGCCACAGCAUUCAACCACAGCAUUCGACCACAGCAUUCAACCACAGCAUUCAACCACAGCAUUCGACAUUCGACCGCAGCAUUCGACCACAGCAUUCAACCACAGCAUUCGACUCCAGCAUUCAACCACAGCAUUCAACAUUCGACCACAGCAUUCGACCACAGCAUUCAACCACAGCAUUCAACCGCAGCAUUCGACAUUCGACCGCAGCAUUCGACCACAGCAUUCAGCCACAGCAUUCAACCACAGCCUUCGACAUUCGACCACACCAUUCGACCACAGCAAUUCAGCCACAGCAUUCAACCACAGCCUUCGACAUUCGACCACACCAUUCGACCACAGCAUUCAACGACAGCAUUCGACAUUCGGCCCCAGCAUUCGGACCACAGCAUUCGAACUACAGUAUUCGACCACAGC
rnacentral:sRNA from 1 species